rnacentral:lncRNA from 1 species
CAGAAACAACAAGAUACGUGUAUUUUGAAGUGUAUUUAAUUAAAAUGCAUUAGUUUUGUUUUAAAAUACAAGAGUAUAUUAGCCAGUAGCAGACCCCAACAGCAACAACCCUCUCAGUAAUGUAACAGAAACAGUUGACUUCCUAUGUGAUACAGGAUGUUGUUGUUUACUGCCUUUAGUUUAAUGCACUGAAGUCACUCUGGAUAAGAGUGUUGAUAAACGACUAAAGUAUUCGUGAAAAUUAACAUACCAUAAUGAACAACAAUGUGCUGGGGUAAUAAACUAAAAGUUCCCCCCUUCAGGGUCCCCAGGACCAGGACUAAAGGACACUGAUCUACGUAUGGUACGAAGUAGCUUCCCAGAAGCCUGGUUACAGUAUGGUACAGUAGCUUUCCCAGAAGCCUGGUUACAGUAUGGUACAGUAGCUUUCCCAGAAGCCUGGUGCAGCUCUGGGUGGAGCGCUGGGUGGAGCUCUGGAUCCACCGUCCAUAUCAAUCCUGGUAUCCCCAGACUCCCUGGGGGCGAUUACAUUUUGGGUGUAAUAGCCCGCCUGUUCCAGGAACUUCCUCAAUGUAUACUGACGUAUGAUCAUGAGCAAGCUCCUGCUGAUGCAAUAUGUGUUGACCGGGUCGAAGCUCUUCAGGUCCUCGUGCUUCGUCACAUAGACCUUAUCCACUAUCCUGUCUGGACGCAUACUGAUGAUGAGACGGUCCAUGUUGCUGUCAUCUUUCUGAUGAGUGUUACCCCCACGGACAUAUUCAGGCAAGGAUUUAGAUGUUGGGAGGUAGAGGUUGCCCACGUCAUAGAAUGGGUACUCACUAAAAGGAAGCAGCCUCUUGCAGACAUUGUUUUUACACUCACGUCUGUUCUGGAAGUGAUGGAAUCCAAAGCCUCCCUCUUUGGGGUCGCAAUUUGCAACCAUCUGGUCAUUUUCGAUGACGAUGUGAUCUUUGGCGAACCAGAAAAGGAGCCUGAGUCCGUGCCUGGGUGAGGGACGACCAAACGAAGAAUUUCUAAGCUCCUCCAUAUUGUUCAAUGUUCGAACCAUGGUACCCCUGGGGGAGGGAGAGAGAGAGAGAGGGUAGAGAGAAGGGGGGGUAGAGAAGAGAGGAUAAGAAAAGCGGGGGGGGGUAGAGAGAGAGGGAUGAGAAAGAGGGGGGG